UACGUAGGGUGCGAGCGUUGUCCGGAAUUAUUGGGCGUAAAGGGCUCGUAGGCGGUUUGUCGCGUCGGGAGUGAAAACCUCGGGCUUAACUCGGGGCUUGCUUUCGAUACGGGCAGACUGGAGGUAUGCAGGGGAGACUGGAAUUCCUGGUGUAGCGGUGGAAUGCGCAGAUAUCAGGAGGAACACCGGUGGCGAAGGCGGGUCUCUGGGCAGUAACUGACGCUGAGGAGCGAAAGCGUGGGGAGCGAACAGG
rnacentral:rRNA from 1 species